rnacentral:rRNA from 1 species
GAUGAACGCUGGCGGCGUGCCUAAUACAUGCAAGUCGAGCGAAGCGGGGACGGGUGAGUAACACGUGGAUAACCCCCUAUAAGACUGGGAUAACUUCGGGAAACCGGAGCUAAACCGGAUACUUAUCGAUGGAUCCACGCUGCAUUAGCUAGUUGGUAAGGUAACCGCUUACCAAGGCAAUGAUGCAUAGCCGACCUGAGAGGGUGAUCGGCGAAGCUGGAACUGGGACAAGGUCCAGAAUCCUACGGGAGGCAGCAGUAGGGAAUCUUACGCAAUGGGCGGAAGCCUGACGGAGCCACGCCGCGUGAGUGAUGAGGGUCUUCGGGAAGUAAAACUCUGUUAUUAGGGAAGCGGUACCUAAUCAGAAAGCAACGGCUAACUCCGUGCCAGCAGCCGCGGUAAUAC